UCCUAGCUGCCCUCACAAACUGCCCAACGUCUUGUCUGACCCUGGCUGGUAUAAAUUCAUGAGUAACUGUAUAGCCAAAGCUUAAACCACCCAUGGAAUAAACUGGAUGCAACUUCACUGAAGUUGAGUUGGACCAUAUCCACAGGAAGGAAUUUGCAUCAGCACAGCUAGAAUGAUGAAGUAUGAAAAUGUGGAGUUCUAUCUUUACCUCCAACCAAUGCCGAAACUCAGCCUCUGAAGUCAGCUACUGCAAUGUGCGUACUUGAUCAGACUUACUCCAGUGUAUAACAAUGAAAGCAAGAAUGAGGCCAAGCUUGGCUGUGUUCUUAGUAGAGAGAGUAUUGGGAAAGGAGAAAGUGCAUCAAGACAGAUCUUGAAUUUUGAAAAUCUUUCUUUUAGGUAAAAGUGACCUGAAAAAGUAAUGUGGCAAAUUCCAGUCACUCACCAGUGUGAGCUGAAUGCCCCCCAAGAUUCCGCAUACUUCUGCCUUGUUGUAGGUCUUUAUCUCCUUCCAUUAUGGCCAUCUGAUCCUUACUCAGAGGCAGUGUUCCAGUACACAUCCUACUGUAGCAUCAUGGCAAAACUUCAGUCAAUCCAUGGCUCUGGAUAAGUCCUGUUUGUGACAUUCUUAGUUUCUAAAGUAUAGAAAGGAACUUUAAAAAACAAAAAGCCUAUAUCCAGCUUUGAGGAGGUUCAGAACUGAAGGUCACAACUUGAUCUUUUUUAAAAAAAAGUUUAAUAAGAUACAGUCUUAAA